CCUACGGGAGGCAGCAGUGGGGAAUAUUGCACAAUGGGGGAAACCCUGAUGCAGCAACGCCGCGUGAAGGACGACGGUUCUCGGAUUGUAAACUCCUGUUCUUAGUGAAGAAUAAUGACGGUAGCUAAGGAGCAAGCCACGGCUAACUACGGGCCAGCAGCCGCGGUAAUACGUAGGUGGCAAGCGUUGUCCGGAAUUACUGGGUGUAAAGGGAGCGCAGGCGGGAAGCCAAGUCGGCUGUGAAAACUACGGGCGUAAAUUGUAGACCGCAGUUGAAACUGGUUUUCUUGAGUGAAGGAGAGGUUGGCGGAAUGCCGGGUGUAGCGGUGAAAUGCGUAGAUAUUCGGAGGAACACCGGUGGCGAAGGCGGCCAACUGGGCUUUAACUGACGCUGAGGCUCGAAAGUGUGGGGAGCGAACAGGAUUAGAUACCCCAGUAGUC
rnacentral:rRNA from 1 species